CGUGCCUGUAGUAGGGCUCGGGAGGCUGAGGCAGGGGAAUCGCUCAAAAAAAAAAAACAACUGUGCCCAGAGGUGGGCACAGAAGACACCCUUGCCCUCCGACUCUGAAAAGCCCCUAAGACCAGAUCCCACUUAAUCUCUUUUCUCCUAAGGUCACCUGGUGUUCAGGAAAGAACUUCGGAGUGUCCCAGGCGCUGCCCCCAUGGGGGCCUCACCCAGUUGAGGUCCCCAUCCCAUCAUCUUAAGAGGAACACCACAGGUUAACCCAAGCGCUGCCUCUAGGCAGGAGAUCUGCAGACACCUGGUCUGCAUGGAACCUGGAGCACUAAUCCAUAAGUGGAGCCUGGGAAGGGGACCUUGUCCUAUCCCAGGACAGAGGAGAAAGCAAGUGCAGCAGUGGCCAAGAGCUGUCCUGGGCCUCCUGACAACUGAGGAGCUGGAUGCAGCGGGGCUCUUCUCAGCCCUGAGUCAGAGGUGAAGACUCUUCCGCCAUCCUGUCAUCAGAUUCGUUCUCCUAACAAGCUCGCAUCCUGGGCAGAGCUUGUUCGUGUGAUGCCCACUUUAGAGGUAGAGCUGGGAGAGAACAAGGUGUUCCCCCAGGGCUCCUUCGCCUGGGAAUCCAGCUCCUCCAGCUGGAGCCCCGAUGCUCUGAAGCUAGAGCCUCACUUUCUCCCAUCAAACUCUGGCUCUGCCCCUUCCCAGCUCUGGGAUUUUGGUCAAAUUCCUUGCCUUCUCUGUGCUGAAGUUCCCCUAUCUAAACAAUGGGGAUUGUUAUGAAGGCUAAAUGAAAUAAACAUGCAGCAACUAGCA